GGUCUCUGGCUGAAAGGCCGAGUUCAGGGUGUGAUGAGAUUUUGGCAUUGUUCUGCCAUAGUCAGACUUUCCAGCGUGAAGCACUAAUGGAUGCAGGAACACUCAGAGUGUUGGAGAAUUGUUCGGAUAGGAAGGUAAGGCACAGCAUUCACCAUAGUCAUGAGUCUGGCUUUUGGCAUAAAAUUUCCAGCACUGCUGUGUAACACCUGAGCUUUCUAGAGCUCCUUGCGGCUCACUGUUUCUAUCUCGCCUUGUAGGGCCGUAGGUGUUUGUUUAUUUAUUUUUAACCAAUAUUAACUCUUGAAUGCAAACAAGGGGAUCUUUGAAUGUGCUUGCCUUUGUAUUUUUCACACUGCCAUAGAAAUGUGCAAGCGUUUCCAAAUUUGUUUUUUUUACUUUCAUGACAAAAGCACAUAAAAGCAUUACCAUUUAGAGAGAUGGCUUAGACGCAAGAGCUCUGGCCUUGCAAGCACUGGGACCUGAGUUUGAUUUUCCAGAAUCCACAUAAAAACCCCUGGUGAGGUAUUACAUAUUUGUAAUUCUAGCACUGGGGAGAUAGAGAUAAACAUAUGCCUGAGACUUGCUAUUCAGCCAGCUUAGAAUAAUUGGUGAGCUCUAGGCCAGUGAGAGACCCUGUCUCAAAAAAACCAACAACAAAAAAGCAGUGUCCAAGGAGUUAAACCUUAGCUUGUUCUCUGGCCUCCAUAUACAUGUACACACACACACACACACACACACAUUUGCUUACACAUGCACAGAUAGGAUACAUACAGACAGAGAAAAGAAGAAAAGAAAAAGCAUUAGAAAUAGAAGAUUUGAAUAUGAAACUCUGAAUUGAACUUGAGACUGUUGUCUAGCUGACUAGGCAUGGUAGGAAGGACGGAGAUGGAAGAUUUAAUAGCUAACUCUUCUGAAAAAUGAAAUAGGAAGAAGUCAAUCCAGGCACUUGCCAAUUGUUUUUGCUCUCCAUAGGUUUGGAAUUUUCACUUGUAUCUCUGCUCUAAUGCCUUUGAAACAGUAUCUAUAAAGUGUGGCAAUCCCAUGAAAGAACAUUUGAAGGCACAAGAAUGAUGCAGUCACAGUCGUUGUAAUUAUUGGAGCAUUCAAGGAUGUAAGUUCCAGAUGGUCUUUGAGUUGUUCAUUUGAAGUAUUAAUAUUUGCAUUAUGAUAAAUAUUUUUAUCUUUGUUUCCAGCCUUUGGAAUUAUAGCACAUCAGAAUUGGGAACAUAUUCAUAAAUACUUCUGAAGUUUUGGGGGCUGUAUGUGGAAACAGGAAAAAAUGAAAAGAGCCAGCAGUAUUGUGAACUAUUGUGGAUGUUUCUGGACAUUUUAUAUAGUUCUAACAGCAAUGUUUGCUUAGAAAUUAAUGUUAGGUUCCCCUAAAACCCACUGUGUAGACUUUGGAGGUCUGCCAUGGGUUGAGAGAAGGUCUCUAUUGCUUCCUGUGCUCAGGAAAAAGGAGAUUAAAGACACCCAAAGUCCUACCCCACUGUCUUUGAAGAUCUUACUUGACACAUGAGUUUCAAAGACUUUCUUUUCUCAAUACUUUAAACUAAACAGAAUUAAUCCAUCUAUAUCCAUCAA
rnacentral:lncRNA from 1 species